UCGUCUCUGUGUUACUUGAAGUUAAUUUUUAAUUUAACUUUGAGCGUCAAACGGGACGGAUAUUAAAAAAAUCUUGUUUUCCACAAGGUGUAUUUCUUUUUAUAUAAAUUCAUCUUACUAAAAACAAGAAACAAUC